AAUUAUUUCCUUAAUACUAAAACGACUUAUAUUAAGUUACGGAGGCCGGAGGGAGUAUCUCUUUUGUGGAAUAUUCUUUUUAUUUGAUCAUUCCCAAAGUGUAAAGAAAGGGAAGAAAAUGAAAGUUUGGCUUUAAUUAGGUGAUCUCCUGCUGAGAUCAUUAUUAGUAAUUAUUGUCGCCGGCGUAUUUCCGAUGGUGUGCUUAAAACAUGCUUAUUGGGUCUGCAAAACCUUUGGUUAUAAGAAAGGCCGGUUUGUUCGUCUGUAUGUAUAAAGAAAAAUUAAGAUGAUAUAAACAGAGUUUUUUUAAUUUAUAUUUAUGAUUAACAAGUAUAAGAGAGACCUCCUAGCUAGAUAUAUUUGGUUUUGCUGUGAUUGGAGACUAAUUAAUCUUCAUUCUGCUCACAAUUUUUCUUCAACUUAUUUCAUCUGUUGAUGCUUAUUAUAUCAUGUAAUUUGUUAAUACUCCCUCCUAUUCAGAUUAAAUAUUAUUUUAGAGUUAAG
rnacentral:lncRNA from 1 species